rnacentral:rRNA from 1 species
AGAGCGAACGCUGGCGGCAGGCUUAACACAUGCAAGUCGAGCGGGCGUAGCAAUACGUCAGCGGCAGACGGGUGAGUAACGCGUGGGAACAUACCUUUUGGUUCGGAACAACACAGGGAAACUUGUGCUAAUACCGGAUAAGCCCUUACGGGGAAAGAUUUAUCGCCUUUAGAGCGGCCCGCGUCUGAUUAGCUUGUUGGUGAGGUAAAGGCUCACCAAGGCUACGAUCAGUAGCUGGU